GGGGUGGGUCACAGGCCCUGGGGACAGCCAGGCCCCAAUAGGGGUCACAGGUCCCGGGGGUGGCAGGUCCCCAGGGGGGGUCACAAGCCCUGGGGGUGUAAGUGCGCUGGGGAGUCCAGCCCCCCCAGCUGUGCAGUGCAGCGGUGUGAGGGGUCCUGGCUUUGCCCUCUUGGUAACGUCCCAGUGCUGUGUGUCCCACGAUGGAGGGGUGGCCCCACAGUGCCAGACCUGCCUCGUGGGCAGUGACACGGGUGGUGCUGUGUGGACAAGGGAGCCCACAGAGAUCCCGGGUCCCCAGGGGCUGGUGGGACCGGUGGCAGGACAGAGACCCCGCAGCAUCUGCGUGCCUGGUUCGGGAAGCUGCAGGCAGGAGGAGCAAGCUUUCCAGGCGUGCCACACGUGCCCCCAGCUGCAACUCCAGGGAGGGACGUUUGGUUCUCCUCUGUAGCAUUCACAGCUCGGGGGGUCACUUCUUAUCGCAUGAACAAGGUGGCUGAGCAGCUCCGGCUAUGUAAUGGGGAAAGAAACCCGUCACCUGCACACAUGCUACCUGAAACGGAGACCGGCACAGGCGGAGCAGAAGCUGCUGUAAACAUGGGCUGAACCGGAGCCGUUUCUCCGUGUGCUCUGCCGCAGCCUGGCUGAAUCCUCUGGCCUCAGCCCUACCGAAUUGCGCGGUUCGCUGCAGAGCCCAGAGCUGAAUGGCUAAUUCCUGUCUUUCAUUAAAAAAUAGCUAAUAAAUAGCCA